CUGUACUCAUUUCCCUCUGAGUGAUAUGCAGUCAGCGAGGUAUGUGUGGUUUUUUUUGUAUUAUGCCUUCUGGUGUUUGUUGGGUGUUAGAAUUGUCUAGUGACUGUAUGUGUUGUUACUAUUUUAAACAGUUCGACGGUGGAUAAUGAAAUUAAAGGAAGAAAAUAAAUCCAUCAGUAACUGAAGAACUUGUGUCGCGUGUUUCCUGGAGGGGAGUGAUAAGGGCCAAAAAAAAAAAAUCAGAAGUGAACUUUCUGCCAGAUUUUCCAGAAGGGAAAGCCCACAGUGACUUAAAUGAAGAGAUCUGCCAUGGUCAUGGAGAUGAAGAAAAGAAAGGUUGACUGGAAGCAAAUAGGUGAAAUGAUGAAAAACAUUCCCCUUACGGAGGAAAGAAAUAGUUGAAGAUGAACCCCUUGUAGCACGAGUCAAGGAAAAAUGGCCAGCCUUGUUCAGGGAACAGCAGAGCUGCACUGACAGGCAGAGGACAGUUCUUUUGCUGGGCCUUCCUCACUUUCUUAAGGAGGAUUCCUCAUGCUUCAAGACUGUUGAGGCCACAGAUGACAUUCACUCAGGGAAUGAAAGUUGCUGUUGUAAUGGUGAAAGAUGGAGAAGACAUCAUUGUCACAUCAGUAGUCCUUGAGGAAAGCGUGAUCCUGCCUGAUCUGAAGGACAUCCCGCAUGCCACUGCCUUGCCGAUGGGCCUUCUUUUUGCACUCAACAUGGACUAUCCAAAGGAACUAGGGUACACAUUUGAAGUCAUUCAAAGGUCCUGAUGAACACUGGUGGAGGACACUGUUCCUCACUUGUGCACGGUUUAAGAAACAAACUCCUGCGGAAAACCUUUUAAGGUUGUGUUCUGGUGUCUCAUUUCAUGCUGUAGUGUUUAAAACUUCAGAUAUUGAAGUUCAAAUUCUGAAGUUUGCUGUUGAAGUUCAUGAUCUCAAAUUCAAGUUUUGCUAUUCAAAUUCAUGCUCAAGUUAUAUUUAUGCAAAUACUCAGUUCUUUGUGCAUAUGGAAGCCCAUUUCUGAGAGUGAAAGAAAAAAAAAAAUAUUCCACAUGUGAAGUCAAUUAUGAGAAAUUCAAAACUGAGUUUAAAAAAAAAUUAAAUCUAAAUUAUGCUCGAAAUUCAGUUGUGGGUGAAAGUCUAAAUUAUGAGAUGGAAGUGUCAAAAUAAGAUAAAGUCAAAAAUACUAGAGUCUCAAAAACGAGAUAAAAAGUCGAGGUUAGGACUUCAUGAUUUCUAUUAUGAUAUUGACUUUUUUGAAGGUUAUAAUAUCUUACUGUGGGGAUAAUCUUUUCUUUUACUUGUAGAAAUGGGCUCAUUUGGAUACACAGUGCAACCAUAUCGUUGGUCAGUGCACCUUUAAUCAACUGCUACAUUCGGGCUCUGUUCAUGCCGUCUGCUGCAAUUCCUCCUUUUAGAAAGGCCCAAUGAAACCGCUUAUCCAACCAAUACAAGAAGAAAGUUUUUCUCCCUCCUCUUGAUAAGUGUGUCAAAACUUAGCCAUAAGAUCUGGCCCACUCUAGUCUCGAGAGCAGCUAAAUCAUCUGUGACAGUAGCAGAGGGAUUGCUAACCUUCAAAAAUCUGUCAGCAGUAGGUCCCUUCAAACUUAACGAUGCGCCGCUUCUUAACCACAUCACUACACCGCCACUUACUAAUCAUUUGAGUAGCCUGCUCCAUCCAGGCAUCAUAUUCCUCUUCACCUGAGGCAACAGGUUUGAGUCCAGAAAACACUCAAUUUUCUGUAACUAGGCCCAUCAGCAGGCCUUUCGCAACACUUGUCUACUAGCCUACCUAUAGCAUUCACUAAAUCCAUGUUCAUAUCAGCUUUGGGAGACGGAUCUUCAGAAAUAACGGACCCAACAUCCUUCAGGGUAUUUCCCCCCCUCUUGCUGCAGUAGUGUCAACAACUUUGAACGGAAAUCUGAAUCAGGCUCUGGGACUACAAGACUCUGAACCAAGUGCACAGUCCAAGGCCCUGCUUCUCCUUCUAUACCUAUUUCUUAUAACUUGCGACCUGUGGAGUCUCCACAGUGACCCCAUAUCUUAGUAUGGCCAAAGACUUUCACUGUGUUCAACACUUUCAUAGUGUCCUCCACUAUAUCAAUGUUCACAUUACCCAGUUCAAUGGCAUGGGAGAGGCUAGCAUUCUCCUCUUGACUCCACUCUACAGCUUUAGUAAGUUCCAUGUUUGCAACAAGCAACAACUAAAUGUCACACAAAGUGAACUUAUGGUUCACAACCAAACUAGAGUUAUAAUGCACUAAUUUUCCUUUUCUGGUAAGCAGGAUAUCCCAGCAGUGCCUCCAAAAUGUAACCCCUUUUUCCCCCUAGUGUUUUAAUCUACACUGAGGUCACUCAUUCAAACAAAAACAGGCUCCUGAGUUUCCAGCUGGUGAUGGUGAAUUGGCUGGAUUUCCUGUCUACCAUUAAAAGUUAGCAGAUAUAGUACAGGGUUCUCCAUGAGGGGUUUUAGAGGUGCGGGCCACCCCCCCUUUCUGCAAUUCCCGCCCCCGUUUAAUUUCUGCCGCCCCUUUACAAAAGGAAGAGACAUCCCUUUGUUUUCUUUGUGACAGAUAGCCUUUCUCUGUUGGAGUACCGACAACGCGACAACACCCGAGUGUGAAACUCAUUUACAGGGCUUUCCACUAAGGCUCAUACUAGCCGGCCAUGACAAAUAAGUAGCCAGCCAGGGGGGGCGACGACACAAAACUAGAGACAACAAUUCCCCUGUGGGAAAUGGUGAGUGAUGCAGUGCGCGUAGCAGCCGCUAUCGCAGGCUAUGAGGCUCCGAUGCUCUGAGCCUGUGUGUGUGUGUGUGUGUGUGUGUGUGUGUGUGUGUGUGUGUGUGUGUGAGAGAGAGAGAGAGAGAGAGUGUGUGAGUGAGAGAGAGAGCAGCCCCUCCCCUCUCUGCUCCCUGAGUGGAGCUCGUCGCCUUGGUAACGGUGCUCAGGUGCAGGGAAGAGACACAAUAUGACAAGCAAAGAGCGCUUUUUCUCAGAGUUCCAUCUCCUCGAACAAUGGGGAUUUACACAGAAACGAAAGGAGCUAUUCACAAAAUUCUUUCACAUUGAGCGCUACAAGGUUCUCAUGAACACAUUGAUGUAAUUUUUUUGUCUCUAGUGUAAAAAAAAAUGUGGACAAUAGAGUGAGUUAAACACAAGUGAUUUUGUAGUAAAAGCGCUGUCAGGAUUUGAAUGGGAGUCUAUGGGGCAGCGCGGCUGUCCUCUCCUUACUUUCAGGCUUCUCAUUCAAAAACUGUAAAACCUAUCGCUCAGGUAGACACAUUGUGUGAAUCAAGACAAGUGUGACUCCCACUUUUGAGAAAAUGUCUGUCGGGUGAAAUUUGUGGCUGAAAACACAGUUUAAAUGAGAAAGUUUGAGCUACUUUUUCAAGCUCUCUACACCAACUUAACAACCUCCACUGAAGUGUAACGCCAUAGACACCCAUUAUAAAGUCUGAAUUUCUCCAGAAUUGAUCGGGAGUAAAACACAAACUCCUGUGCACGCAGUUCCCAGGAUUAAAUGCAUUUUCCACAGACCAUUUAUUUAUUCACUUUACUCAAAUACAAAGUAAAAUGGCAGUAAAUCUUUUCUUGCGUAUUGCAUCAUGAGGCGUUCCUGGCUUGUAAAUCUCUUAUUUUCGGUGCAUGACGCAUUCACGCAGCUGAGCAUGCUAUGAAUUAACAACGACAACGGUCUGCAGUGGGGCUACACAAACACUCAGCGAACAUUUCUCCACUUGUGUAUGAAAAUACACUCCAACGACUCAGUUUGGUUUCAUUUACAACCAACGGUGUCUUUUGAUGCCAGCACAUAAUUGAACGAGAGAAGGCUGGUUUACUGGAGACAAAAUAAGCGUCAUCUCUGCUUCUGUUCCCUCCGACACACUACUGCCUCCGCCGAGCGCGCGCGCACACACUGCAUGUCGGGGCCGCGGAUGAGUUACUCUCCCUUGAUCAGUGAAGUCGGCGGGGAAUUUGUGGUUAUUAUCGGUACAAACAGCGCAAAUCAGUUUGACAUUCAGUCCGUUAGAUAAACAUUUAAUUUUAUUAAAAUCGAAAAUUAAUAUUUAGAGCCUGUGGGCUACAAAAAUAAGUCAUUAAAGUAGCCGGCUGGACUUGUGUAGUCGGCUGUUUGGCCGGCAGCCGGCGCUUGUGGAAAGCCCUGCAUUUACCAGCAAUUAGUUUAGUCAGUCUGACAAUUCUAGUCUAAGAAAAGCAUUUCACACUUCGGCAUUUUUGACACAUUGUUCUUACGCUGGGAGAUAACACGCCUUUAUAACGUGUGAAUCGACACCAAGUUCGAGAUAGGCUGUGUAACUAUUACAAUGCAUUUUGCUUGAGUCUGUAUGAAUGAGUUUAAAUUACAAUGUCAUUUUCCUUUAUCUUCUUAGACUGUUAACUGGUGAACAUGGAUGGAGCAGUGUAAAUAUAGCUAUAUAGAGUAGGGCUGAACGAUUUUAAGAAAAAAUUGAAUUGCGAUUUUUCUGGCAGAUAUUGCGAUUUCAACCACGAUUUUUUUUCUUUAAACCAAGUUUCAGUGCAAAUUAAUUAAUACAAUGAAUUCCAUAAAGCUAAUGCAAGAAUGAAAACUGAGGUCAACAAAUUUCAAAUGUAGGCCUGUUUAUUAACAUUGAGUGCCUGAGGAACAAGUUAUAAUAACUUAAAAAUAAAAAAAGAGCCAUCUUUAAGUAAACUUUUGCUUUUUACUUUUCCCAUCUACAACAUAUCAGACAUUUAAAAAAAAAAAAAAAAAAGGUUGAUCAAUGGCUCAGCAGCAUCAAAAUCUUGCACUUUUGUAAAAGAAUGUACAUAAGCAUUAUAAAUUAUAACUAGAGCCAACAAUUCCCCUGUGGGAAAUAAGAGUGAUGCAGUGGCUGUAGCAGUCGCUAUUGCAGGGCCCCUCCCUCCUGUGUGUGUGAGCAAGCCGCCCCUCCCCCACCCGCACGCUCAGACAGACAGAGAAAGCGCACUUUUCCCUCAGUGCGCUCCCUCCAAACAACGGGGAUUUACACGAAAACGGAAGGAGAUAUUCACAAAAUUAUUUCACACUGAGCACCACAAGGCUUUCCUGAACGUAAUUUUUUUUUGUCUGUAGUGUAAAAAAUGAGGACAAUUUAUUGACUAAACAAAACAUGGCUCAGUUUAGGAGCACUGAGAAAAACCGCGGCUUUGACAAUCCCAAAAUCGUGUUGUCUGAGAUCGCAAUUUUCGGUCGAAAACAAUAGAUCGUUCAGCCCUACCAUAGAGCAGUGUAAAUAUAGCCAUAGAGCAGUGUAAAUAUAGUUAAAACAUCUUUUCAAUGUACUUUACUCUCUAAAAAAAAAAAAAUUCUUCCAGUGGUGCCUGAAAUUACAUUUCCAUUUCAAACAAUGUCAGCUUUUGUGGAGCAGUGUG